rnacentral:rRNA from 1 species
UACGGGGGGGGCAAGCGUUGUUCGGAAUUACUGGGCGUAAAGGCUCGUAGGCGGCCAACUAAGUCGGAUGUGAAAUCCCCAGGCUUAACCUGGGAACUGCAUCCGAUACUGGAUGGCUUGAAUCCGGGAGAGGGAUGCAGAAUUCCAGGUGUAGCGGUGAAAUGCGUAGAUAUCUGGAGGAAUACCGGUGGCGAAAGCGACUUCCUGGACGAAUACUGACGCUCAUGUGCGAAAGCGUGGGGAGCAAACAGG